GACGGCCACAUGACGUUGAUACACCAGUUUCCGUACGAUCACCGAAGUUAAGCAACGUCAAGACUGGUCACUACCUAGAUGGGUGACCGCUUGAGAAUACCAAGUGUCGUAAG